CAACAGCUCAAAUUUGAAAUCUGGCCUCUUYGGGGUCCGAGUUGUAAUUUGUAGAGGGUGCUUCGGGCGCGAUGCCGGUCUAAGUUCCUUGGAACAGGACGUCGCAGAGGGUGAGAAUCCCGUACGUGACCGGCAAUCAAGCCUGUGUGAAGCCCCUUCGACGAGUCGAGUUGUUUGGGAAUGCAGCUCAAAAUGGGUGGUAAAUUUCAUCUAAAGCUAAAUAUUGGCCAGAGACCGAUAGCGGACAAGUAGAGUGAUCGAAAGAUGAAAAGCACUUUGGAAAGAGAGUCAAACAGUACGUGAAAUUGUUGAAAGGGAAGCGCUUGCAAUCAGACCGGUCCGGAGGCGAUCAGCCGCUGCUCGUUCAGCGGUGCACUCGCCUGCGAUCCGGCCAGCAUCGGUUUGGGCGGCGGGAUAAAAGUCCCGGGAAUGUAGCUUCUCUCGGGGAGUCUUAUAGCCCGGGUCGCAAUGCCGCCCGCCUGGACCGAGGACCGCGCUUCGGCUAGGAUGCUGGCGUAAUGGUUGCAAGCGACCCGUCUUGAAACACGG
rnacentral:rRNA from 1 species